rnacentral:lncRNA from 1 species
GAAGGAUGUGCAGGACGAGGGAGCCAUGGAGACCUCACCGCAGCCUCAGCCACCCACCAGCAGACCCUGUGCGGACGCCGGGCAGGCCACCCUACCAACUCUCAGGAUGCUCCUGCAGGCCCUGCGGGUGGACAGGGUGAACGGAGGCACAAGGAGGGGUCUCAUCCUGUCACCCAGGAGCUGGAGUACAGUGGUGUGGUCAUAGCUCACUGCAGCCUCAAACUCCUAACUCAAGCAAUCCUCCUACCUGAGCCUCCUGAGGAGCUGGGACUACAGGCAAGCGCCACUACCCCUAGCACCUCUGUUGCCCAGACUGGUCUCGAACGCCUGGCCUCAAGCGACUCUCCCACCGCAGCCUCCCAAAGCUGGGAUUACAGGCGUGAGCCACCACGCC